GAAAAACAAUGUUCAUAGUAUGUUUCUUAAACCCUAUUCAUGGGUGGAGCCUAAUUUCAAGAAUUUGAAAGAGAGUUGUUAUGUGAAUUUUUUAUCAGUACAGAUUACUUCACAACUUUCGAUUCGUUGUAGAAGUGUUAUGUAAAGAGAAUACUUAUAUUCUUUCAGCUUAUAUAUAUAAUUGCUAUUACUUGCUGGGCACUCAAAUGCUCAUCCUUGCUUAAACUAAAUGUUUUCAGUUACGUACGAUCGACCUGAAGGCUCAGGCACGAACAAGGGAAAAGAAAAGCUGUUCGAAUGAGAUUUAGUAUGAGUUAAUGGUUAUAGUUAGUAAGACAAUGGAAUCUAUUGUCAGAUAUUGUAAGGAAUGUAUUUGAAGGUCACGUACCUGGGAAAGUAAACUUUGAUGUAUGUAAAUUAAGUUCGAAUUAUAUUAUUAUUUAGUAUUAUUCAGCUUAAAGAAAUGGUAUCGUGGAGAACCGAGUUCGGGUUGCAAGUAUCCGGAUUUGGGGUCGCCACA
rnacentral:lncRNA from 1 species